UACGAAGGGGGCUAGCGUUGCUCGGAAUCACUGGGCGUAAAGCGCACGUAGGCGGCUUCUUAAGUCGGGGGUGAAAUCCUGGAGCUCAACUCCAGAACUGCCUUCGAUACUGAGGAGCUUGAGUCCGGGAGUGGUGAGUGGAACUGCGAGUGUAGAGGUGAAAUUCGUAGAUAUUCGCAAGAACACCAGUGGCGAAGGCGGCUCACUGGCCCGGUACUGACGCUGAGGUGCGAAAGCGUGGGGAGCAAACAGG
rnacentral:rRNA from 1 species